UACGUAGGGUGCGAGCGUUAAUCGGAAUUACUGGGCGUAAAGCGUGCGCAGGCGGUUCGUCGUGUCCGAUGUGAAAGCCCCGGGCUCAACCUGGGAAUGGCAUUGGAAACUGGCGGGCUUGAGUGUGGCAGAGGGGGGUGGAAUUCCGCGUGUAGCAGUGAAAUGCGUAGAGAUGCGGAGGAACACCGGAUGGCGAAGGCAGCCCCCUGGGCUAACACUGACGCUCAGGCACGAAAGCGUGGGGAGCAAACAGG
rnacentral:rRNA from 1 species